AUUGAACGCUGGCGGCAUGCCUAACACAUGCAAGUCGAACGGUAACGCGGAGAGCUUGCUCUCUGGCGACGAGUGGCGGACGGGUGAGUAACGCGUGGGAAUCUGCCUAGUAGUGGGGGACAACUCGAGGAAACUCGAGCUAAUACCGCAUACGCCCUACGGGGGAAAGCGGGGGAUCUUCGGACCUCGCGCUAUUAGAUGAGCCCGCGUCGGAUUAGCUAGUUGGUGAGGUAAAAGCUCACCAAGGCGACGAUCCGUAGCUGGUCUGAGAGGACGAUCAGCCACACUGGGACUGAGACACGGCCCAGACUCCUACGGGAGGCAGCAGUGGGGAAUAUUGGACAAUGGGGGAAACCCUGAUCCAGCAAUGCCGCGUGUGUGAAGAAGGCCUGCGGGUUGUAAAGCACUUUCAGUGAGGAAGAAAAGCCUGGGGUUAAUACCCCCGAGUCUUGACGUUACUCACAGAAGAAGCACCGGCUAACUCCG
rnacentral:rRNA from 1 species